UACGGGGGGGGGUAAGCGUUGUUCGGAAUUACUGGGCGUAAAGGGCUCGUAGGCGGCCAACUAAGUCAUACGUGAAAUCCCUCAGCUUAACUGGGGAACUGCGUGUGAUACUGGAUGGCUUGGAUUUGGGAGAGGGAUGCGGAAUUCCAGGUGUAGCGGUGAUAUGCGUAGAUAUCUGGAGGAACACCGGUGGCGAAGGCGGCGUUCUGGACUGCUACUGACACUGAGGAACGAAAGCCAGGGGAGCAAACGGG
rnacentral:rRNA from 1 species